rnacentral:rRNA from 1 species
UACGUAGGGUGCGAGCGUUAAUCGGAAUUACUGGGCGUAAAGCGUGCGCAGGCGGUUUUGUAAGCCAGAUGUGAAAUCCCCGGGCUCAACCUGGGAAUGGCAUUUGGGACUGCAAGGCCGGAGUGCGGCAGAGGAGACUGGAAUUCCUGGUGUAGCAGUGAAAUGCGUAGAUAUCAGGAGGAAUACCGAUGGCGAAGGCAGGUCUCUGGGCUGACACUGACGCUCAUGCACGAAAGCGUGGGGAGCAAACAGG